rnacentral:misc_RNA from 1 species
GGGGAAUUAAAAAAAAAAAAAGCUGUUUUACUUAAAGAUGAGGGACUAAAGUGUAUAUUUUUCCAAAAGUCAAGGACUAUUUAAUUCACUUGUGAAGAAGCAAUGUACAAGCAUAAACAUGGAGGUUUGGUUCUUUAUGACAGAAUUGAAAUUCAUGAUAUGAUAGCCCAUUCAAAAAUUGCGAAAGCAUGCAAAAUGUUAGAUUAUUGUUGCUGCAAAAAUGAUUGAUGUAGCACCAAAAAUAACAAAGGCAAAGAAAGGAACAAAUCCAUAGAGAAAGAGAACUAAUUUUCAAGCUGUAUUAUGCUCAAAUAAUUCUCAUAUCAAGUCUUUGCUAAAAAUAAUAAAAACCCCAAGUCUUAUUUAUAGAAUUAGGAA